GACGAACGCUGGCGGCGUGCUUAACACAUGCAAGUCGAACGGAAAGGCCCUGCUUUUGUGGGGUGCUCGAGUGGCGAACAGGUGGGUAAAACGUGAGUAACCUGCCCUUGACUUUGGGAUAACUUCAGGAAACUGGGGCUAAUACCGGAUAGGAGCUCCUGCUGCAUGGUGGGGGUUGGAAAGUUUCGGCGGUUGGGGAUGGACUCGCGGCUUAUCAGCUUGUUGGUGGGGUAGUGGCUUACCAAGGCUUUGACGGGUAGCCGGCCUGAGAGGGUGACCGGCCACAUUGGGACUGAGAUACGGCCCAGACUCCUACGGGAGGCAGCAGUGGGGAAUAUUGCACAAUGGGCGGAAGCCUGAUGCAGCAACGCCGCGUGCGGGAUGACGGCCUUCGGGUUGUAAACCGCUUUCGCCUAUGACGAAGCGUGAGUGACGGUAAUGGGUAAAGAAGCACCGGCUAACUACGUG
rnacentral:rRNA from 1 species